rnacentral:misc_RNA from 1 species
UCGUAACAAGGUUUCCGUAGGUGAACCUGCGGAAGGAUCAUUACAACAAUAAUUCAACAUUGUGUCAGAGCAAUAACAUCUAAAACCGAUCAUCAAUUAAUUAAUUCAAAACUUUCAACAACGGAUCUCUAGGUUCUCGCAUCGAUGAAGAACGCAGCGAAAUGCGAUACGUAGUACGAAACGCAAGUCGUGAAUCAUCGAAUCUUUGAACGCACAUUGCGCUGUGUGGCAUUCCACACAGCAUGCCUGUUUGAGCAAUAUUUCUCUCUCGCAAGGUGUUGGGCACCACGCCGGCAGGCGUCUGCCAGAAACGAAAUUGUCUAAAACAGUUAAGCUUGUUACAGACUCUUGAUCUUAUUCUCAAAUCAGGUAGGACUACCCGCUGAACUUAAGCAUAUCAAUAA